UAGGUUUUUCUAAUCAAAUUGCAAUCGCUAACAUUUCUAGCUGUCAAAAUUUUCAGUUAACAGUAUAAAGAUCCUCUUAAAUUCCUCGUUACCAAUCCGUCGAACCAAAUAUUAUUUCGGUUGCGAAAAUUCUUCUCAAAAAAUUUAAUAAUAAAUUCAUUAAAAGAUUUAUUUAAAAUUUUCGAGGGAUAAAAAAUAAAAGGUAAUGUGACGGACACGAAAAAAAAUCCAGUACUUAAAACGGAAAUGGCUUGAUUUUUUUACAGUUUCCUGUAAAAAAUCACGAAUUAGCUUAACAAAAUGGGACAAACUAUGGGCAGAAUGCCUGAAACGUGGGUAGGUCUCCUGGAAGAGAGAGAUCGUGUUUUACAUUGGAGUUCCGAAGUGUUGGCGAGAGUGCAAGAUAAUGUUAGGAACGAGGAUACGUUCUUGAUGGAUUAUGAUGAUGACAAAGUUGACGCCAAGAUCGACACGUGGAUUAAAACUAAUCAGACGCGGGUUAACGAGACAUUUAAUAAAUAUCCAAACGCGUCAAAUCAGCUAAAAAAUGUAGUUAACACCGGAAUAGAAAAGCUUACUGAAGAAAUACGAGCGAAAACGAGGAAAGAUUACAAGAAUGUAUACAAUGACAUUAAGAAGUUCAAUAAGAAAGUGGAUCAAUUAGGUUCAGACGAACGAAAAAUUCACGCCGAAAUACAAAAUCUGGAAUCGGAAUGUGUGGGCGACGUUAAAAAAUUCCAAAAGAAAUUUGGACCAUUGCGAUUAAAAGUUUUUGACAAUUUGAGAACCGGCGAGAAAAUGAUAUUCCAAGAUAAAAGACUAAAAAGCGAUUUUACGAAAAAAGUUUACGAUAUUGAUCACAAAAAUUCUGCCGAGUGCGUGAAACGGAUCGAUAAAUUGCUUAAAGAAUUCGAAAAAAAUGUAGCAAAAGAAGUAACAUAAAUAAAAUAGCGCGGAUGAAAAUGUCUCAUUGUCAACUUAGUAUACAUAAUCGAAAGAUUGACGUAUUGUUGAAUGCUUUUGGUUGAUUUCCUGUUCUGUAUAUAAUCGGUUGCUCAUGUCUCGAAUGAGAAAGAGGAUAAGGAAUUCCUGGAUAAUCUUCCCGUCGUAAUUGGUAGUGUGAAUGAUGGAAAAAGAGAAGAAAAGGAAAGAAUCGAAAGACCAUCUUUGCCUGAUGAACGUCUAGAACGAAAGAAAAGAAUCUGGGUUGUACAGAGUGUUCCGAUAUUAUCGGAUGCCUUUUUCACUAAGCUUUAAUUCACUUGGAGUCAAUUUGUCCUCAGC